GGUACCUUAGCCAAGUGGUAAGGCAGUAGACUGCAACUCUGCGACCGCCGGUUCAAAUCCGGCAGGUACCUCCA
rnacentral:tRNA from 1 species